UGAUCCCUGCUCCAGUAGCAGCCACAUCUAUAAAGAACCUUCAAAUCAGAGAGACAGGGAGCCCGACUCUGGACGCGUAUUACAGGCCUCCAUCGAGUGGAAGUAAAAAACGUCAGGGGGGCACCCACCGUGUGACCCACGGUUCUUUAUAGCCAUGCUAUUGGGCAGGGAUAUU
rnacentral:other from 1 species